rnacentral:rRNA from 1 species
ACACUAAAUGAAUAAACUAUUCUUUAUCUAUUAAUAAAUUUAUUAUAAAUACUUUUAAGUCCAUCUUAUAGAAAAUUUUAAAUCUUCUAACCGAAAAAAUUUUUUAUUGUAACUCGCCUUACUUCUUAUUUAUUUGCUGCACUUUGAUUUGUAUUAAACUUUUUAACAAGAUUUUGAAUUUACCUUAAGGUAAAUUCAUAACAACGGUAUACAAGCUUUUGUAAAUAAGUAUAGUGUUCUUGGUGACUAUCAAUUAUAUGGUAAGUUCCCCUAAAUACUACAUUCAGCCGCCAUAAUAUUUAAGUUUGGGCUUGAUAGUAAGCGUUAAUUUUUGUUUAGGUAUAUUAAUCUCCAUAUAAUUGGGUAUCUAAUCCAGGUUUAAUUUUGGAGGUUAAUAAUAAAAUAAAUAUAGUUAAUUUAUAAAAAUAAUAGUAUUUCACUACGUAUUAAAAUUUUGUAUAUUAUUUUUGAAUAAACAAAUACUAUAAAUUUGUCUAACAGGUAUGACCGCGGUUGCUGGCACCUGAUAAACCUAGACUAUACAAUUAUCUAAAUUUAAAUUUCUUUAAUUGUUUAAUAUUUUUAACUGGAUAAAAUGUUUACACUCCAUAUUAAAUUAUAUUAUAAACUUAUAUAUCCAUCAUAUUAAAGUGGUAAAUCUAAGGGGGUUAUUUACCAUUUUAGA